rnacentral:rRNA from 1 species
GUGGGGAAUAUUGCGCAAUGGGGGAAACCCUGACGCAGCGACGCCGUGUGAGGGAAGAAGGCUUUCGGGUCGUAAACCUCUGUCAGAAAGGAAGAACCUCCCAAGUCCGAAUAGGGCUUGGGACUGACGGUACUUUCAAAGGAAGCACCGGCUAACUCCGUGCCAGCAGCCGCGGUAAUACGGAGGGUGCAAGCGUUAAUCGGAAUCACUGGGCGUAAAGCGCGCGUAGGCCGCUUUGUAAGUCGGACGUGAAAGCCCUCGGCUCAACCGGGGACCUGCGUUCGAUACUGCGAGGCUUGAGUCCUGGAGAGGGUGGCGGCAUUCCGCGUGUAGGAGUGACAUCCGUAGAUAUCCGGAGGACCACCGGUGGCGAAGGCGGACACCUGGACAGGUACUGACGCUGCGGCGCGAACGCGUGGGGAGCAAACAGGAUUAGAUACCCCGGUAGUCC